rnacentral:rRNA from 1 species
UACCCGCGGUCCAAGUCGCAGCCACUUUUAUUGGGUCUAAAACAUCCGUAGCUUGCUUCCUAAGUUCUUUGUGAAAUCCGGCAUCUUAAGUGUCGGUCGGGCAAAGAGUACUGGGGAGCUAGAGACUGGAAGACGUAACGAGUACGUUCUAUGUAGCGGUUAAAUGUGUUAAUCUAGGACGGACUAACAACAGCGAAGGCACGUUACGAGGACAGUUCUGACAGUAAGGGAUGAAAGCUAGGGGCGCAAAACG